GGAUGUGAGGGCGAUCUGGCUGCGACAUCAGUCACCCCAUUGAUCGCCAGGGUUGAUUCGGCUGAUCUGGCUGGCUAGGUGGGUGCCCCCUUCGCCCUCAACGAUCCAUGUGCAUCCCUCCCGAAGUUGCGCGCUUGGUCAAAGAGGACGACCACCCCUGAUAGAGGAGGACCGUUCCUCGGUCAAGGGUAUAGGAGUAGCUGCGCUCCCCUUCUAGAACCUCCAAAAAGCUCUCAUGUAAAAGCAAAUUGCCUGGAGGCCUGCCCCUUAGCUCAGUUCUUUAAGUGGCUGCUUCAACAAAGCAGUCAGGCUCA
rnacentral:snRNA from 1 species